rnacentral:rRNA from 1 species
ACGGGUGAGUAAUACGUAGGGAUCUGCCUUGAAGAGUGGGACAACCCGAGGAAACUCGGGCUAAUACCGCAUGAUCUCUGAGGAGGAAAGGCUAGGAGUAAUUCUGGCGCUUUAAGAGGAACCUACGUCCGAUUAGCUAGUUGGUAAGGUAAAGGCUUACCAAGGCGAUGAUCGGUAGCUGUUCUGAGAGGAAGAACAGCCACACUGGGACUGAGACACGGCCCAGACUCCUACGGGAGGCAGCAGUGGGGAAUAUUGGACAAUGGGGGCAACCCUGACCCAGCGAUGCCGCGUGUGUGAAGAAGGCCUUCGGGUUGUAAAGCACUUUAGUUGGGGAAGAAGAAUUGUUGUUUAAGAGAUGGCAAUUUUGACGGUACCCAAGGAAUAAGCACCGGCUAACUCUGUGCCAGCAGCCGCGGUAAUACAGAGGGUGCGAGCGUUAAUCGGAAUUACUGGGCGUAAAGGGCGCGUAGGCGGUUUGAUAAGUGAGAUGUGAAAUCCCCGGGCUUAACCUGGGAACUGCAUCUCAGACUAUGAGACUGGAGUACAGUAGAGGGUAGUGGAAUUUCCGGUGUA